UAUCCCAGUGUCACCAGUUCUGAUGUCCCAGUGUCCCAGUGUCCCUGUGUCCCCAUAUCCUGGUGUCCCUGACCCCAGUGUCCCCAUAUCCCAGUGUCACCAGUUCUGAUGUCCCAGUGUCCCAGUGUCCCUGUGUCCCCAUAUCCUGGUGUCCCUGACCCCACUGUCCCCAUACCCCAGUGUCACCAGUUCUGAUGUCCCAGUGUCCCAGUGUCCCCUGUGUCCCCAUAUCCUGGUGUCCCUGACCCCAGUGUCCCCAUACCCCAGUGUCACCAGUUCUGAUGUCCCAGUGUCCCAGUGUCCCAGUGUCCCCAUAUCCUGGUGUCCCUGACCCCAGUGUCCCCAUACCCCAGUGUCACCAGUUCUGAUGUCCCAGUGUCCCAGUGUCCCAGUGUCCCCAUAUCCUGGUGUCCCUGACCCCAGUGUCCCCAUACCCCAGUGUCACCAGUUCUGAUGUCCCAGUGUCCCAGUGUCCCAGUGUCCCCAUAUCCUGGUGUCCCUGACCCCGGUGUCCCCAAAUCCCAGUGUCACCAGUUCCGAUGUCCCUGUCCCAGUGUCCCAGUGUCCCCUGUGUCCCCAUAUCCUGGUGUCCCUGACCCCGGUGUCCCCGUACCCCACUGUCACCAGUUCCGAUGUCCCGGUGUCCCAGUGUCCCUGUGUCCCUGUAUUCUGGUGGUCCUAUUUCCUGGUGUCCCGGUGUCCCUGACCCCGUUGUCCCCAUGUCCUGCUGUCCCUGCGUGCUGCUGUCCCCGUCUCCCAAUGUCCCUGACCCUGCUGUCCCUCACCCUGAUGUCCCUUGUGUCCCUGACCCCACUGUCCCUGUGUCCCCAUCUCCUUGUGUCCAUCUGUCCCUGUGUCCCUGCGUGUCCCCAUGUCCCUUUCCCCAUGUCCUUGACCCCACUGUCCCUGUCUUCCAAUGUCCCUGACCCUGCUGUCCCCAAUGUCCCCAAUGUCCCCAAUGUCCCCAAUGUCCCCAAUGUCCCCCUGUCCCCUGUCCCUGUCCCUGACCCCGCUGUCCCCGUGUCCCCAAUGUCCCCAAUGUCCCCAUGUCCCCAGUGUCCCUGUGUCCCUGUCCCUGCUGUCCCCAUGUCCCCAUGUCCCCGUCCCCAUGUCCCCCUGUCCCCUGUCCCUGUCCCUGACCCCGCUGUCCCCUCAGGGCUCUGAAGGCCACCAGGCUCCUCCGCUCCCGCCCCGCUGAUGCCCGAGGGAGCCGAGCCAUGAAGGGGUGAGUGGGACCCCAAAAUCUGCUCUGGGACCCCAAAAUCCAACCUGGGACCCCAAAAUCCAACCUGGGACCCCCAAAAUCCAACCUGGGACCCCCAAAAUCCAACCUGGGACCCCCAAAAUCCAACCUGGGACCCCCAAAAUCCAACCUGGGACCCCCAAAAUCCAACCUGGGACCCCCAAAAUCCAACCUGGGACCCCCAAAAUCCGACCUGGGACCCCCAAAUCUGAUCUGGGAUCCCCAAAAUCUGAUCUGGGAUCCUCAAAAUCUGCUCUGGGACCCCAAAAUCUGAUCUGGGAUCCCCAAAAUCUGCUCUGGGAUCCCCAAAAUCCAAUCUGGGACCCCAAAACUCACCUGGGACCCCCAAAAUCUGACCUUAGACCCCAAAAUCCUACCUGGGACCCCCAAAAUCCAACCUGGGACCCCCAAAAUCCAACCUAGGACCCCAAAAUCCUACCUGGGACUCCCAAAAUCCAACCUGGGACCCCAAAAUCUGCUCUGGGACCCCAAAAUCCAACCUGGGCCCCUAAAAUCCGACCUGGGACCCCAAACUCUGACCUGGGACCCCAGAACUCACAUGAGACCUCCAAAAUCCGACCCAGGACCCCCAAAAAUCUGAUUUGGGCUCCCCUCUAAACUGCCCCAGGAUCUCCAAAUCUCAUCUGGGACCCCCAAAACUGACCAGGAACUCCCCCCAAAAUGGCCCCAGACCCCCAAAAUCCAAUCUGGGAUCCCC
rnacentral:lncRNA from 12 species